CCUGGUGACUAUGGCGGAGGUGUCCCACCCGUUCCCAUCCCGAACACGGAAGUUAAGCCCUCCCGCGCCGAUGGUACUGUUAAGUCGGGAGAGUAGGUCGUUGCCAGGC
rnacentral:rRNA from 1 species